rnacentral:tRNA from 1 species
GCUCAGUUGGUUAAGGGUCUGACUCUUGAUUUCAGCUCAGGUCUUGCUCUCAGGGUUGUGAGUUCAAGCCUGACACUGGGCU